rnacentral:rRNA from 1 species
AUUUGAUAAGGCAUCUUAUUAUAUUAAGCUUCGGCACUUGAUGAUGGGUGUGCGGCUGAUUAGAUAGUUGGCGGGGUAACGGCCACCAAGUCUACGAUCAGUAGCUGAUGUGAGAGCAUGAUCAGCCACACGGGCACUGAGACACGGGCCCGACUCCGUACGGGAGGCAGCAGUAAGGAAUAUUGGACAAUGGACGAAAGUCUGAUCCAGCCAUGCCGCGUGAAGGAUUAAGGUCCUCUGGAUUGUAAACUUCUUCUAUAUGGGACGAAAAAAGGGCAUUCUUGUUCACUUGACGGUACCAUAUGAAUAAGCACCGGCUAACUCCGUG